UAAGGAAUAUGGUGCAAUGGAGCGCAAAGUCCUGAACCAGCCAUGCCGCGUGCGAUGAUGACAGGCCCUAUGGGUUGUAAACUGCUUUUGUCAGGGGAAUAACCCCCCGUACGUGUACGGGGCUGAAGGUACCUGAAGAAUAAGCAUCGGCUAACUCCGUG
rnacentral:rRNA from 1 species